rnacentral:lncRNA from 1 species
UUCAAGUCCGUCACUCCCCUUCCUUUCCUCUAGGGCGGGAGCUACACAGGAAGUGCCUCUUUCACUGUGGGGUUAUUGACAGGUACUGGAUUCGCCUCGGCGCCAUCUCUUUUUAGCUUUUGCCUGUGCCGUUGCUGGCAGCUGAGUCAGAACUUCUGAGGAGAGCGUCUGUUCUUGACUGACUUUGCAGGUGUCUUCUUACAACACAGACAUCUUUUACUACUAAGCUAGGAGGCACCAGCAGUGGCUAUUUUGUUGCUUCUCACUGUGUUCUGAGAGGACGGUUUGAUCACCUUGAGUGAAAACAACCCUGAAGAAGCCUAGAGCAGCUCAUGGUCUGCUCAAUGCCAAGUUCAGGCUUUUAUCAUUCUCACCUUUAUUGAAAUGUAAGUAACAAAUACAAACUAUCUAUACUUAAAAGUUUGUGUCUUUGUUUGGGUUUUGUUGCAAAGAGACAUC